rnacentral:tRNA from 1 species
AGGAUAAUAGUUAAGUAUUAAUAUAAUAUUUAAUUUGCAUUUAAAAGUAAUUUUUUUAAAAAAUUUAUCUUU